UACGGGGGGGGGCAAGCGUUGUUCGGAAUUACUGGGCGUAAAGGGCUCGUAGGCGGCCAACUAAGUCAGGGGUGAAAUCCCGGGGCUCAACCCCGGAACUGCCUUUGAAACUGGAGAGCUAGAAUCUUGGAGAGGCGAGUGGAAUUCCGAGUGUAGAGGUGAAAUUCGUAGAUAUUCGGAAGAACACCAGUGGCGAAGGCGACUCGCUGGACAAGUAUUGACGCUGAGGUGCGAAAGCGUGGGGAGCAAACAGG
rnacentral:rRNA from 1 species